AUUGUUUUCUUCUUUUCUUAUGUAACGCCUACUCACGAUCCUCCACUCAAAACCAAGGGAAUGAAAAUCCCUGAUCUUAUGUUUAUUAAAUUAAAUUGCUUAUCCAUGAAAUUUAUGGUUGGUUGCUCAACAUAUAAUCUUUCAGACUAUCCCUUCACUCGAAAAGUAGGUUUCUCUCAGUUUCGUGUGUUUUCGUCGACUCAUUGGCUUUGAAUCUGUUGAGCCAUUGAUUUCAAUCAAGAGGCAUCGGCCAAAAUCCUUAGAAACAUUAUGAAUAAAGAGGGGAAAUACCCGGCAAUGCAUUUUUGUUUUACAAUUAGUUUUUAAUUGAGUCUUAUUUCUUACUUAAUAUACAGAUAAACAGAUCAACAUGGUCAUGGUGACUCUUAAUAUACGGACCCUAAAGUAUAACUUUUCGUUAUUCUGUCAAACAACUUUUGACUGAUGGCAUCAUUGUUGUAUUUGUGCAGGAUGGUCCUAUACAGACAUGAGUAUUAACAUUAGGGUAUAUUUAGCUAGGCACGAGAAUAUGAAAGGCUAAGAUUGCCAUCCUCCUUUCAGUAUUAUCUGAUUUCCACAACUCGGAUGGGUAGGCGUGAUCUUGCCAUAUGUAAGGAACUUUUCUCCGCCUCUGUGUAUUGAUUAACAUUCAUUUUUCAAUUUUUUUCUUGCGCAACGAACCCUAUGAAUGAUUAACAUUCAUUUUUCAAUUUCUUUCUUGCGCAACGAUGUUCAAACCCAAAGCUAGAAGAAAUUUCCAAUGAAACCCUAUGAAUGAUCAAACUUCCAACCUGUUUUUGAUUUAUUUGGAACUUAAAUAAAACUCUCAUCUACGCAUUUCAUGGCAUCUCUCAAUUUAUUGAAAACACCAUCAGUUCCACCAAUCACACGGCUGCUAUAUUUGGUCACUCUGGCUCCGCCAUUGAAACGAAUGUCAUCUGCUUAUUAGUUGACAUAAUUCUGCAAUCACAGAUAUAGUUGGUUUCUUAAAAACAGUCACCAACAUCCAGGUGCUUCAAAGGUCCGGUGGGCAAUCAUGCCGAAUGGGCACAACUAUGAAAAUUGUUUUACGGGGGUCUGCCGCCAACCAAGUAGGGAAUGACCCAAUUGAUUGCGACUCCACCCCCAGUCCAGUGCUGUUUACCUACUUCAUUAUAAACAAAAUCUCUAACUCUAAAGCAUGCCAAUUCUGGACGAAUCACCUUAUCUUCGACAAAUGCCACCAAAGUCUACGCGGAUGCAGACAUACCCGAAGUCGUUAAAAUGCGAGAAAGGAAAACGAUAUAGCAGCUGCUCUCUGCCAAAUGGGAUCCUUCCUGCCAGGCCACUAACAUCCUCAUAUGUAACGCCAUUGCCACCCAUGUGCUGAUUAAAAAUGGUUGGCAAUAUCUUGCCUGCCAUCGAUGUAGCAAGAAGGUUAUGGGUGAUGAUGGAGACCUUUGGUGCACUAAAUGUGAAGCCAAAGUUGAACUGCCCAUCUCAAGGUUCAUGGUCCGCUUUGAGGUAGAGGACCACACUGGCACCACAGUCUUUGUGGCUCUGGAUAGUGAUGUCCAAAAUUGGUCCGUGCUACCGCAGCUGAGCUCACAGGAGCGUCAGAGGAUAAUGCAAAUCUGUGGUAAUAUCUGGAUUCUCGCAGAUACUUCAGCGGUCUGUUGAUUUCCCAAUUACUAUCAAUUCCUUCAAGAUGAAGCAGAAAACCUCGCCUAACCAGCCUGGCCAAGGUGUUUUUGCGACUGUGAAAGUUGAAGGGGAUUCAAAUACUGUUGAUGGACCGCACACAAAGAAACCUCGCCUUGACGAAACAACUGGAAUGGAGGAUAAUAAGGAUGAAGCUGCUGAAUGAGAUGGGCCUCGCCACCGGAAUAUAAUUGAAUCUUUACUCAGUAUUGUUAUUUGUUUUCUGAUUUUUUUGUUUGAAUCCCAUGUUUCGCAGUUUACUUACAGUCUUGAUGAUAGUUAUGCUCUAUUAUCAGGUUCCGCAUUUCAGCGCUAGGUCUUUUGUUAUAAAAGUUUCAGAACCUUAAUUGUCCUCACAGCAAGACGGUACAUUAUAUAAUGAUGGCUUAAUACUGCAUCUCUUGCACUGCAAUA